CAGUUCACCAGCUUCUCAAAGACUUUCCCCAAGAAGCCAGCAUUUUCCCAGUAUGAUAAGGAAUUUGAAGAAGUAACGCACAGGAGUUGCACUGGCCUUUGGUUCCAGCAGUCGGGGCCCAUCAAAGACCUCAGUGUGUGUGAUGACUCUGGCCACUCAUUUCUACUUGGACUUGCUCGAGGACCGCAUGCAGGCUUCUCAAAUGGUGUGGAUGAAACAGUGGUACAGGAGUUCAGAAGAGGGGAUGCUGUACAACUGGAAUGGUCCCAGUGGCUUCCAUGGAAGAAUAGAGGACCCAACAGGCUGAAGGAUGGAGAAAGUUUUUGUAGGCAGAGAGGAGCAAGGAGACUCUGCCAGGUGAAGGAAUGGCUUGGAGCAGAAGGUUUGAAAGAAAAAAGUGUGAGCCAGGUAUAGAGGACAGGCCAGUCAAAUUAAAGUGACCAAUCUAACUAGGAGCAAAUUUGUUUAAAUUAAACUUAUUGUUUCUGUGUAAAAAAUAAUAGGCCAGGCGCAGUGGCUCAUGCCUGUAAUUCUAGCACUUUGGGAAGUCAAGUCGGGUGGAUCACCUGAGGUCACGAGUUAGAGACUAACCUGGUCAGCAGGGUAAAUCCCCGUCUCUACUGAAAAUAUAAAAAUUAGCUGGGCAUGGUGGUGGAUGCCUGUAAUCCUGGCUAUUCGGGAGGCUGAGACAGGAGAAUCGCUUGAAUCUGGGAGGCAGUGGUUGCAGUGAGCUGAGAUCAUGCCAUUGCACUCCAGUCUGGGCAAUAAGAGCGAAACUCUGUCUCAAAAAUGAAAAGAAAAGGAAAUAAAUUAAUAAUACAUGACGUUGUGGCAUUUUGUAAAAUGCAAUAAAACAAGACAGAGAAAAUACGAUUGCCUGUUAAUCCAUCAUUGAAUGGAAGUCACUUAUGAAUCCGGGGUACUUUUCUAUGUCCUUUUGGACAUUGAUGAGAACACACCAUACCACAAUCAUGUAUCCCACAUUUUUUAACAUUCCAUCACAGGCAUUUCUCCCUGCCAUUAGAAAUUCUUCAUGAACGUUUAUGCUGGCUUCACUGGUCACCAUGUUAUCCAUGUAGCAUAAGUCUCUCAACCUUUCUCUCACGCUGGACAUUCAAGUUGUGUCCAGUUUUUUACAUAUUUGGGGGUUGAUUUGAGACUUACAAGAAGUGAGUGGGAGAGACUGAAUAUAGAACUUUCCCUAGUAGCCCAUGGACUAUAAGAAUUUGGAGGGGCUUGCUUCAGACCGUGCUCUCUCAAGUGCUGG
rnacentral:lncRNA from 1 species